AUGGACAGCGACCCCUCCGCCUCCCUCCUCGCCAGGAGACACUGGGACACUCCCUGCCGGCUGCACUCUCCCUGCUUGCUCUGCCGCAUCAGGGGCUGGAGCGGGCCCUGCUUGUAUGGGCAAGGGGUGGUUGCUUCCCCGCCUGGGUGGGCCCCAAGGGCAGGGAAGUGUCAGGCACAGACCAGGCCGGUUGCUGCCUGGGCCUGGGUGGUCUCUGCUUUCCGUACCCCAAUGAUGGCCCUUUUCUGCUCAGCCUCUUGCUCCCAUCUGUUGUUGAGGACACAGAGGGCAGGGCCCCUUGAAUUCUGCAUCAAUAAAAGACAAAAAGGACAGCAGGGUCCACUCCAUCGUUGAUACUGACACAUUGAAUAUAUAUACUCGAAGAACGUAUUACAUGGGAAAAUUGACUACUCUAGGUUUUCCAUACCUGUAUAACCACCACCUGAGGAAGACUACACAGUUGAAACCGGUCGUGGAUGGUGACUAACCUUGGAUUUGUUUAAAACAUUGGAUUUUAAAAAAAGGAUUCACUUACUUGGACAUUUAGAUUUGGACUCACAAUUAGUGAUUUAUACAGUCCUCCAUGUGGAACAUGAACUCUGGUGGUCAUUGGACUCACACACUCUGAAUAUAGAGUUUUACUUUCUAUGAAUGUAUGUGUGUUGGUAACACAUGGAUUAUAUUUUGGUUUAGAGACGUGUUUUUUGAAGCAUUUAGUAUAUUUUGAAUCUUUAUCAUCCUUGGCUGCACAUUGAAUGAUCUAUGACAAUAGCAUAUAUAGAAAUUACUGUUUUAUAUAAAUGCUGUAAAUAAAUGCUGUAAAUAAAUAAAUAAAUAAAUAAAUUAUAGUUUAUAUUAUUGGAUUACAUUUCUAGUUAUAGUGGCAUCUUGUCUAUGCAUUUCAGGGAAUCCUUUCUUUGUAUUGUUUAAGGCAGGGGUCCCCAAACUAAGGCCCGGGGGCCGGAUGCGGCCCUCCAAGGUCAUUUACCUGGCCCCCGCCCUCAUUUAUAAUAUAAUAUUUUUAUAUCAGUUUUAAUAAUAUAAUAUAUUAUAUUAUAUAUACAUAUGAUGUUGAUAAUAUUAUGUUAUACAAUGUAAUACUAAUAAUAAUACCAUAUAAUAAUAUUAAUUACAUGUUAUAUAUUACAUAUAAUAUUACAGACUAUCUCAUUGGCCAGAAUCAGGCCCACACUUCCUAUUGAAAUCCUGAUAGGUUUACUAUGUUGGUUAAAAUUGUUUUCAUUUUUAAAUAUUUUAUUGUUCUUUCAUUGUUGUUGUUUUGCACUACAAAUAAGACAUGUGCAGUGUGCAUAGGGAUUUGUAUUUCUUUUUCAAAUGAUAAUUUGGCCCCUCAACAGUCUGAAGGAUUGUGGACCGGCCCCCUGCUUAAAAAGUUUGAGGACCCCUGGUUUAAGGAAUAUAGGCACAUAAAGGCAGUUGGGUUAUACUUUGGGUAGAUUAACCUAUAUCAGGCAUGGGCAAAUUUUGGCCCUCCAGGUAUUUGGGAUUUUAACUUCCACCAUUCCUAACAGCUAGUAGGCUGUUAGGAAUGGUGGGAGUUGAAGUCCCAAAUACCUGGAAGGCCAAAGUUUGCCCAUGCCUGACCUAUAUUCUCCCUGACAAACUAUUUCUUGUCCUAUUGGAGCCUCUCAUAUCCAAUUGAAGCCAGCGUGCCCUAAAUUCUGGGUUUAGGUUUGCCAGGAUAUCCUGCUUCCUUUUUGGACCCUCUUUUUGGCAUGUUUCGACUUCUGAGGCUGUGUUUAGAAGAGAAGAUAUACUUCCUAACUAUUCCACACAACCUUUUAACACAGCGAUUAGUAUAUUUUAGAAAUAAAACGUAUGGAUAUAGGAAAAUGUGGUUACAAUGAGUAAUCUGUUCUGGCUCCAGGAUUUCAUCUUUUUGGUUCCAAAAGGCUGUUUGUUCAGCAAUCAAGAUGUCUGGUUAUAUUUGGUAUCCGACUAUUUGGGGCACUGGAGAAUCCAUCAAGACAUGGCCUCAAUUCUCUUUCCUUCCCGUCUACCGUCCCGCCAGCACUUCAAUCCAUUGUCAAUUUCCCUUCUGCAUUCUGGUCCCGAUUUAGAGUGUUAGUAGGGUAGCAAAACUCAGGAGAUUCUUUGCAUUGCCAAGAUGCAGCCCCAGGAAAUACGAAAUAGGACAUUAAUCCUCUUUUUGUAAUAGUCCAUGCUACAGUCUGUCAGCACUUAUAACUAUAUUUCCUGGGCAUUGUCACUAUGGGCUUUUUGGGAUUUUUUUUCUAGGAUAUUCUCUAUCCAGAAAUGAACAUUUUAAUGGCUUCAACAACUUCAGAAGACUUUAAAAUUGGAUUGGAAAAUUCAUUGGGAGUUAGACUAUUAAUAACUACUAAUAAUAGUGGCUAGUUAUUAUUUAUGGGGCAGGAUAUCUCUGUGUAUUGAUAGCUGCUGGAGAAACAACAGCUUGAGAGGGAUAUGCCCACUGUGCUUUAAUUGUGAAUUUCCCUUUGAAGCAACUGGUUUAACUCUUUGCUGAGUUAAAUAGA
rnacentral:lncRNA from 1 species